rnacentral:misc_RNA from 1 species
AAACAAUAUAUGGUCUUGUACAGUGUACCAGGGACAUCAAAGAAGCUGAUUGUCUUAGUUGUUUGAAUCAAGCUUUUGGAGAUCUUCGUGGAUGCUGCUAUGCGAGUCAAGGUGGAAUUAUUCUCAGCAGAAAUUGCAACGUGAGAUAUGAGCUGCAUAGCUUUUACGAUGCCUCAGGAAAUUUAUUGACGUAUCCUACUUCAAAAGGGGAUAAAUGGCAGGCGUGGAUGAUUGCGCUUGCUGUGACUAUACCAACGCUUGUACUCAUGGUACUCAUUGGGUCUUGCGUUGUCUA